AUUGAGCGCUGGCGGAAUGCUUUACACAUGCAAGUCGAACGGCAGCACGGGGGCAACCCUGGUGGCGAGUGGCGAACGGGUGAGUAAUACAUCGGAACGUGCCCGGUCGUGGGGGAUAACGUAGCGAAAGUUACGCUAAUACCGCAUACGAUCUACGGAUGAAAGCGGGGGACCGUAAGGCCUCGCGCGAUUGGAGCGGCCGAUGUCAGAUUAGGUAGUUGGUGAGGUAAAGGCUCACCAAGCCGACGAUCUGUAGCUGGUCUGAGAGGACGACCAGCCACACUGGGACUGAGACACGGCCCAGACUCCUACGGGAGGCAGCAGCGGGGAAUUUUGGACAAUGGGCGCAAGCCUGAUCCAGCCAUUCCGCGUGCAGGACGAAGGCCUUCGGGUUGUAAACUGCUUUUGUACGGAACGAAAAGGCUCUGGUUAAUACCCGGGGCUCAUGACGGUACCGUAAGAAUAAGCACCGGCUAACUACGUGCCAGCCGCCGCAGUAA
rnacentral:rRNA from 1 species